GCCAGCAGCCAUAUCACCCCGCAACUCACAACUGGCAACCCACUGAAGCUCAGCAGGUGUGAGCCUGGUCAGUACCUGAAUGAGAGACCUCCUGGGAAAAACUAAGGUUGCUGCUGGAA
ensembl:rRNA 5S_rRNA 5S ribosomal RNA